rnacentral:rRNA from 1 species
CCUACGGGGGGCAGCAGUGAGGAAUAUUGGUCAAUGGACGAAAGGCUGAACCAGCCAAUUAGCGUGAAGGAUGACUGCCCUAUGGGUUGUACACUUCUUUUAUAUGGGAAUAAAAUGUUCCACGUGUGCGUUUUUGUAUGUACUAUAUGAAUAAGGAUCGGCUAACUCCGUGCCAGCAGCCGCGGUAAUACGGAGGAUCCGAGCGUUAUCCGGAUUUAUUGGGUUUAAAGGGAGCGUAGGUGGGUUGUUAAGUCAGUUGUGAAAGUUUGCGGCUCAACCGUAAAAUUGCAGUUGAAACUGGCAGUCUUGAGUACAGUAGAGGUAGGCGGAAUUCGUGGUGUAGCGGUGAAAUGCUUAGAUAUCACGAAGAACCCCGAUUGCGAAGGCAGCUUACUGGACUGCAACUGACAUUGAGGCUCGAAAGUGUGGGUAUCAAACAGGAUUAGAUACCCCUGUAGUC